UUAUUCCUUCCCUUACUA
rnacentral:tRNA from 2 species